rnacentral:rRNA from 1 species
CCUACGGGCGGCAGCAGUGGGGAAUAUUGGACAAUGGGGGGAACCCUGAUCCAGCCAUGCCGCGUGUGUGAAGAAGGCCCUCGGGUUGUAAAGCACUUUCAGUGAGGAAGAACGCCUGGUGGUUAAUACCCAUCAGGAAAGACAUCACUCACAGAAGAAGCACCGGCUAACUCCGUGCCAGCAGCCGCGGUAAUACGGAGGGUGCGAGCGUUAAUCGGAAUUACUGGGCGUAAAGCGCGCGUAGGUGGCUUGAUAAGCCGGUUGUGAAAGCCCCGGGCUCAACCUGGGGACGGCAUCCGGAACUGUCAAGCUAGAGUGCAGGAGAGGAAGGUAGAAUUCCCGGUGUAGCGGUGAAAUGCGUAGAGAUCGGGAGGAAUACCAGUGGCGAAGGCGGCCUUCUGGACUGACACUGACACUGAGGUGCGAAAGCGUGGGUAGCAAACAGGAUUAGAUACCCUGGUAGUC